rnacentral:rRNA from 1 species
UAAGGGCGCACGGUGGAUGCCUUGGCACUAGAAGCCGAUGAAGGACGUUACUAACGACGAUAUGCUUUGGGGAGCUGUAAGUAAGCUUUGAUCCAGAGAUUUCCGAAUGGGGAAACCCAGCAUGAGUUAUGUCAUGUUAUCGAUAUGUGAAUACAUAGCAUAUCAGAAGGCACACCCGGAGAACUGAAACAUCUUAGUACCCGGAGGAAGAGAAAGAAAAUUCGAUUCCCUUAGUAGCGGCGAGCGAAACGGGAAGAGCCCAAACCAACAAGCUUGCUUGUUGGGGUUGUAGGACACUCUAUACGGAGUUACAAAGGACGACAUUAGACGAAUCAUCUGGAAAGAUGAAUCAAAGAAGGUAAUAAUCCUGUAGUCGAAAAUGUUGUCUCUCUUGAGUGGAUCCUGAGUACGACGGAGCACGUGAAAUUCCGUCGGAAUCUGGGAGGACCAUCUCCUAAGGCUAAAUACUCUCUAGUGACCGAUAGUGAACCAGUACCGUGAGGGAAAGGUGAAAAGCACCCCGGAAGGGGAGUGAAAUAGAACCUGAAACCGUGUGCUUACAAGUAGUCAGAGCCCGUUAAUGGGUGAUGGCGUGCCUUUUGUAGAAUGAACCGGCGAGUUACGAUUUGAUGCAAGGUUAAGCAGUAAAUGUGGAGCC